rnacentral:rRNA from 1 species
CAUGGAAGUAAAAAAAUCGUAACAAGGUCUCCGUUGGUGAACCAGCGGAGGGAUCAUU